ensembl:ribozyme RNaseP_nuc Nuclear RNase P
AUGGAAAAGAAUAUUUAAAAGAGAAUGUAUAGUGGGGCUACGAACUGAGUGCGCUUAGUCACUCUAUCCAAUGUCCCUUGGGAAGGUCUGAGACUAGGGCCAUAGAGCGGCCCUAACAGGGCCCUCCCUGAGCUUCGGGGAGGUGAGUUCCCAGAGAACGGGCUCCGUGCAAGGGUAGACUGGGCAGGAGAUGCCAUGGACCCCACCCUUGCGGAGGGGCCUGGCGGAUGCCUCCUUAGCCAGAGCUUGGAACAGACUGACGGCCAGUGAAGUGAGUUCAAUGGCUGAGGUGAGGUACCCUGCGUGGGGGCCUCAUAACCCAAUUCAGACUACUCUCCCGCCCGU